CGGGUGAGUAAUAUAUCGGAACGUACCCAAGAGUGGGGGAUAACGUAGCGAAAGUUACGCUAAUACCGCAUACGAUCCAAGGAUGAAAGUGGGGGACCUUCGGGCCUCAUGCUCCUGGAGCGGCCGAUAUCUGAUUAGCUAGUUGGUGAGGUAAAGGCUCACCAAGGCGACGAUCAGUAGCUGGUCUGAGAGGACGACCAGCCACACUGGGACUGAGACACGGCCCAG
rnacentral:rRNA from 1 species